rnacentral:rRNA from 1 species
GGCUCAGGAUGAACGCUAGCUACAGGCUUAACACAUGCAAGUCGAGGGGCAGCAUUGGGAUAGCUUGCUAUCCAGAUGGCGACCGGCGCACGGGUGAGUAACGCGUAUCCAACCUUCCCUAUAGUAGAGAAUAGCCCGGCGAAAGUCGGAUUAAUGCUCUAUGUUGUGUUUUGAGGACAUCUGACGAACACCAAAGGUUCACCGCUAUAGGAUGGGGAUGCGUCUGAUUAGCUUGUUGGCGGGGUAACGGCCCACCAAGGCGACGAUCAGUAGGGGUUCUGAGAGGAAGGUCCCCCACAUUGGUACUGAGACACGGACCAAACUCCUACGGGAGGCAGCAGUGAGGAAUAUUGGUCAAUGGGCGAGAGCCUGAACCAGCCAAGUAGCGUGCAGGAACCGACUGCCCUAUGGGUUGUAAACUGCUUUUAUCAGGGAAUAAAGUGCGGCACGUGUGCCGUUUUGUAUGUACCUGAUGAAUAAGGACCGGCUAAUUCCGUGCCAGCCGCAGC